rnacentral:snoRNA from 3 species
GGAUCGAUGAUGACUCCCUCAAUCUGCAUUCCUUGGAAAAGCUGAACAAAAUGAGUGAGAACUCUCUACUGUCAUUCUCAUCAAAACUGAAGUCC